UUAUGGUCAGAAUUUUGGGAUUAUUUCAUGAGGAGAGUGACAUUUUUCACCAUCUUCCGGGGUCCAGCAAUUUGCGAAAAAAAAGUAAUCUCACUUGCCACCCCGAAAAUUUAACCAGACAUGUAUAAAUGUAUCAGCUUCGAUUUGAGCCAUCAUACAUGUUCAAGUAAACGAUAUGGAUUGAGCAACGGAGGAAAACGUUACCAUUACCGCCUAUGGAGAAUUAAUUGUAAAUGUUUACCCAAAUUAGAAGCUUAAUUCCAGAAGUUUUCAGACUGAUUUAUGGAUGAUUUCACCUUGUACACCACCGAAAAUGAUGUUCCAGACAUAUCAUUCCUUUUUAACCUGAGAUGGCAAACUAGAGGUUUUAAAAAGUCCUGAAUAACUGAAAUGGAUAAAAAUACACAGAUUUAUUCAGAAUGUUAUACCGAUGAAGAUCACAUAAAAAUAUUUAGAAAAAUCAGAAGUAUGGAUUUCAAUAUCAGGAUCCCUAAUAGACCUUGAGAUGAGGAACUCAGAUGACGUAAUUAAAAAAAAAUAUUAGUCCGCCAUACAAUUGUGGAUGCUGUGAUUUUAAAAAUGGACAUAAAUGAACAAUAAAAACUGUUUUAUAGAGCUGAUGUGAUGAGAAAAGAAAUAUGAAGAUUUGACCUGAAAUAAAUUAUUAGAAAGGACAAUUUUUUUAUUGAAUUUUAUGAUCAGAAUUUUGGGAUUAUUUCAUGAGGAGAGUGACAUUUUUCACCAUCUUCCGGGGUCCAGCAAUUUGCGAAAUAGUAAUCUCACUUGCCACCCCGAAAAUUUAACCAGACAUGUAUAAAUGUAUCAGCUUCGAUUUGAGCCAUCAUACAUAUUCAAGUAAACGAUAUGGACUGAGCAACGGAGGAAAACGUUACCAUUACCGCCUAUGGAGAAUUAAUUGUAAAUGUUUACCC